rnacentral:misc_RNA from 1 species
AAGGAUAAGGAAGAAGCCUGAGAAGGGUUUCUGACUAGGUUGGGCAAGCGUUUAUAUGUAAGAGCAAGCAUUCUAUUUCAUUUGUGUUGUUAAGA